CAUUACUUUUACAAGUAUGGAGUGAAUCCCAUUCAGGCUUAGCCUACACCAUCUAACACAGAGGCACCACUGGGUGGAGUUGAAGCCGAGGCAUCUGUCUGGGAGGCGAGAGUGCUAACCACUACACCACUGUACCGUGUCAACUGCUGCCGGUAGAAUGUCUUAUGAAUCCAAUUUAGAAUAAAUUCGGAUUUUUAUUCAAAAGUAGGUUUUCUCACCAUCGUACACCUUCAUAUGACUAAAGAUAGAAUUUCAUUACUUUUUGCAAAGUAUUUUGGCAUUUUUUUUAGACUUGGAAGUUUAAAAAAAGUUUUUUCCAUUAAUUUUACAAAUAUGGAGUGAACCCCAUGCAGGCUUAGCCUACACCACCUAACACAGUGGCGCCACUGGGUGGAGUUGAACCCGAGGCAUCUCUCUGGGAGGCGAGGGUGCUAACCACUACACCACUGUACCGUGUCAACUGCUGCCAUUAGAAUGUCUAAUUACUCCAAUUUAGAAAAAAUCAGAAUUUUAAUCCAAAAGACGUUUUUCCACCGGCGGCCCCCGUUCAUAUGACUAAAGAUACAACUUCACGUCUUUUUGCAAAAUAUUUGGGGAUUCUUUUCAGAUGCGGAAUUUAAAAAAAGUUUUUUCCAUUUAUUUUACAAGUAUGGAGCGAACCUCAAGGUCGCUUACCCUACACUACCUAACACAGAGGCUCCACAGGGUGGAGUUGAACCCGAGGCAUCUCUCUGGGAGGCGAGAGUGCUAACCACUACACCACUGUACCGUGUCAACUGCAGCCAUUAGAAUGUCUAAUUACUCCAAUUUAGAAAAAAAUCAGAUUUUUAUUCAAAAGUACGUUUUCUCACCAUUGUCCCCCUUCAUAUGACUAAAGAUAGAAUUUCAUGACAUUUCUGUGGUGGAAGAUUUUGCACAGACAAUCGUUAAGUAAGAAUCAAAGGCUCUGAGUCAAGUAUGUCUUUUCUCCGUUUAUUUCCUUGCAAGGGAAAAAGGGUCCCAACAGCUACGUGGUCAGUAGACUGUCAAGAACCUCCUUUUCUUCCCAACACAUCGAGGCAGUUCUUAUACCUAAACUUAGAUAUCGGUGGCGUCAACAGAGACCGUUAACCAUCUUGUUGAGUCUCUACAGCCAGGGUACUGGGAACACCUUGUCCAUGUGAGACACAUCAGUUCUUUGACCGUGUCCUUGCUCUCCCAACAUGCUUAAACAAAGGUGGUCAUAGACAUAACAAACACUUUGUUCAGUCUCUACAGCUAUGACGCUGGAAACAUCUAAUCCAAGUGGGAGACAUCAGUUCUUAUGUCAGGGCCUUUGUGACCUAAGCACUUGCAACUAAUAAACUGGUUAUACAAAUGAAGCAUUUAAAAGGGUCACAUAUCAUUUUCCCAUUACAUUCCACUCUUUUGAUUACAUAAUAAUCACAAACUAUGCAAUCAAUUUAGAAUGACUACUCUAAAAAUUCACUAGCUGAUAUCUACC
ensembl:lncRNA